AGUAAAGUAUUUACAAUGCUUGCGGCACUUUGUUGACAUGUUGCCGCCAUUAGUAGGAGCAUAACCUCCACGCCAACAUGACCACUUCCCUGGAAAUAAUCGUCAGGCUUCGAUGGGGAUCAUGAUUAGGGUAUGUAGAACUGCGGAAUAGAUGGUACAACGGAUGGUAGUGAUUCCCCCGCCCCCUCCCAGUUGUCAUGCUGGGCGAAACAGGACGCGAGCAAGAUGCACCAUAGUCGUACUUUUCUAUUCUUCAUCCCUCCGUCUCUCCUCCCUAUCUCACCCAUGGCAUCCAGAUUUGAGGAAUAUCUUCAUGGACGGCAAGCACCAGUGAGCUUCAAAUAUCUUCUCCCUUAAGAAAUAUUUCUUUCUAAUAUUUCACUCACUUUAAUUAUUAUACUCUCUUCGUCCUAAUUAGUGUCUUAACUUUGUAUUAAUCUAGUACAAAGUUGUAGUACUAAAAUUAGGACACUUAUUUUAAAAGAAGGACAUAUAUAUAAAGUAACAACAAACAACAGCAAGUAAUGAUCGAUGCUCUUCCAGAAAAUAAAACUUUGUAAUUGAUGCUUGCAUGCAUGCAUCCAGUAGCUUCUAGCCGGUACAAGACCUAUUCCUUUUGGUUUCAUUGAUGAAAUGCACCGACCGCCCAGCGCCACUCCUCAUCCAGAUGCGUGCCUUAUCCACACCGUCACUUCCCCUUCUCACUCACCGCUGCUCCUCCUCUUCUCCAGCCACUAUCACCCAGUGAUGCUCUUCCUCUUCUACACGCAUUGCACGGACGAUGCACUCCACUCUCCUGGAGUGCAUGCCGCCAUGGUGGCUGGCCAGAGCCAAGGCAGCACCCCUUAUCAGCGCGAGGAACCCAGAGACGCCAUGGAUGGCGCCAUGGAUGCUCCUCUGCCGUUGGUCUGAUCUGGCCGUCCCGCCCCAGUCGUCGGCCCGCUCCGGAUCCGGCCAGCAGCCUUGCCUCCGAUCCGAUUCGGAUGGCCCUGCCUACAGCCUCCGCCACCUGCGGCAUGCCCCCCAGAGGUCCGGCUGAUCCAGCCUGUCCACGAAGUCCAGCCGGCCCUCCUCCCGGGCGCGUUCCUCGGCCGUUGCCACGCGCUCGGCCAACAACUUCGUUGAACUGGUGGUACACCCGGUGCAGCUUGCCCUGCACUCCCUGGACACAUUGCUUCUUCUACAUCUACCUGAUGCUGUCCCUUCUCUUCUUCUCUAUCAGGGCAGCAUCAACCCCCUUUUCCCUGUCGGUGAGGAACUCCAGCAGAGGAUGGACUGUGUUUUGGAGCUCCUCGAUCUGGCCUCCCCCGCUCAGGUGCCGCUCCAUGCUCCGGAUCUGGCCACAGUAGGCCUCGCCCCCGACGACCAACAGGCUCAGAUCCAUCCCUUCCCUCCUCCUGUCCUCCACAUGCGUAGGGGCUGUGGCGCCAGAUCAAGGGAGCCUGCCAAUGGAGGUCACCGCCUCUCCGUCUCGUUCCGUCCGCCGCCGGAUCCACCACGUUGUGCCAUGGAUGGGCGCCUUGCAGCUCCUCCUCCCGUCACCUAAUCUGCCUGCCCGCCCGUGCUCCAGAUCCGGCUAACAGCCUCGCCUCCGACCCGAUUCAGACAGGCGCCUACACAAUCUCACUCCGCCACCUGCGCCUCAGGUCUGACCGAUCCUGCGUCGCUCAUCCUCGCUGCUUUUCUUGUUUAAGUUAGCCCCGCUGUUUCUUUUGCUCGCAGCUUGCGAGGAGGCCAGGGCGCGCCUUGUCCAGCCGCGGGCUACCUGCUGUGUCAGUCAGCCCAGCCGCCUCGACCCGGCCUUCUCCUUCUUCGCCCCCAGCUCUAGGCCUCAAACAACUCCCACUUUUUGGAAAUCCUCCGUAGAGCGAGGGGCACCGGUGGUGGUGGUGUUCGCUCGGUGGACUCUGUUCCAUUUUCUUUGCUCCUUCACGCUUUGGCGAUUCCUUCUGUUCCCUUUC